UCAGAACAAGAUGGAAGAGGGCCUAUGA
rnacentral:piRNA from 1 species